rnacentral:rRNA from 1 species
GACGAACGCUGGCGGCGUGCUUAACGCAUGCAAGUCGAACGGAAAGGCCUGCUUUCCCUUGUGGAUUGCGGGUACUCGAGUGGCGAACGGGUGAGUAACACGUGAGUGAUCUGCCCCCAACUUGGGUAUAAGCCUGGGAAACUGGGUCUAAUUCCCGAUAGGACUGCAGGGUGGUGCCUGUGGUGGAAAACGAUUUUCUAGUGGUUGGGGAUGAGCUCGCGGCCUAUCAGCUUGUUGGUGGGGUAAUGGCCUACCAAGGCGGCGACGGGUAGCCGGCCUGAGAGGGUGGGCGGCCACAUUGGGACUGAGAUACGGCCCAGACUCCUACGGGAGGCAGCAGUGGGGAAUAUUGCACAAUGGGCGGAAGCCUGAUGCAGCGACGCCGCGUGGGGGAUGACGGCCUUCGGGUUGUAAACUCCUUUCGACCGCGAGGAAGCCACCUGGUUGGAAGGGUGGUGACGGUAGUGGUAGAAGAAGCACCGGCUAACUACGUG